rnacentral:rRNA from 2 species
UGGGGAAUAUUGGGCAAUGGGGGAAACCCUGACCCAGCAACGCCGCGUGAGGGAAGAAGGUUUUCGGAUUGUAAACCUCUGUCCUGGAGGAAGAAAGAAAUGACGGUACUUCAGGAGGAAGCCCCGGCUAACUACGUGCCAGCAGCCGCGGUAAUACGUAGGGGGCGAGCGUUGUCCGGAAUUAUUGGGCGUAAAGGGUGCGUAGGCGGCCAAGUAAGUCAGAUGUGAAAUACCAGGGCUUAACCCUGGGGGUGCAUUUGAAACUACCUGGCUGGAGUGCAGGAGAGGGAAGCGGAAUUCCUAGUGUAGCGGUGAAAUGCAUAGAUAUUAGGAGGAACACCAGUGGCGAAGGCGGCUUUCUGGACUGUAACUGACGCUGAGGCACGAAAGCGUGGGGAGCAAACAGG